rnacentral:rRNA from 1 species
GACGAACGCUGGCGGCGUGCCUAAUACAUGCAAGUAGAACGCUGAAGCGAGGAGCUUGCUCUUCUUGGGUGAGUUGCGAACGGGUGAGUAACGCGUAGGUAACCUGCCUUGUUGCGGGGGAUAACUAUUGGAAACGAUAUCUAAUACCGCAUAACAAUGGAUGACACAUAUAAUUUAUUUGAAUGGGGCAUUUGCUCCACUACAAGAUGGACCUGCGUUUUAUUAGUUAGUAGGUGAGGUAAUGGCUCACCUAGGGGACGAUACAUAGCCGGCCUGGAAGGGUGAUUGGCCAAACCGGGAAUGGGGAAAGGCCCAGGACCCCUAGGGAAGGAGCAGGAGGGGAACUUCGGCAAAGGGGGCAAAGCUGGACGCGCAACGCCGGGUGGGGGAAGAAGAGUGUCGGAGCGUAAAGGUCUGUUGUAAGGGAAGAACGGGCGUGAGAGUGGAAAGUUCCCGCUGUGACGGUAGCUAAAGAGAAAGGAACGGCUAACUACGUG